rnacentral:lncRNA from 1 species
UGGCCACCUCUAGACUUGCAACCAUGCUCAUGAUUUGUCUUCUCUCCGCCGUUUAUAUUGGUGAAUGUAAGUUUAGUCACAUAUAUAUAUUUAUCAUUAUCAUUAAAUUUUAAAUCUUUGCGCACCUAUUUACAUGUAACCAUAGUAAUUUGCUUAAUUGUGCAGGUGAGUUGAUGAAAGAGAGUUCUCAAAAGAUGCUUGACACAGAUCCCAACAAAAAUUUCAAGAAUGGUUUGUGCUUACCUAAUAUUUGUUUGAAUGAAAGUUCAGCGAAGUUUCAAAUUUUUUGUUGGUGUUGUUCUGCCGGACGUAUCGCGGAUUGCGUUAGAUCGAAACAGCUG